rnacentral:rRNA from 1 species
GUGGGGAAUCUUAGACAAUGGGGGCAACCCUGAUCUAGCCAUGCCGCGUGAGUGAUGAAGGCCUUAGGGUUGUAAAGCUCUUUCAGUGGGGAAGAUAAUGACGGUACCCACAGAAGAAGCCCCGGCUAACUCCGUGCCAGCAGCCGCGGUAAUACGGAGGGGGCUAGCGUUGUUCGGAAUUACUGGGCGUAAAGCGCACGUAGGCGGAGCGGAAAGUUGGGGGUGAAAUCCCAGGGCUCAACCCUGGAACUGCCUUCAAAACUAUCGGUCUGGAGUCCGAGAGAGGUGAGUGGAAUUCCGAGUGUAGAGGUGAAAUUCGUAGAUAUUCGGAGGAACACCAGUGGCGAAGGCGGCUCACUGGCUCGGUACUGACGCUGAGGUGCGAAAGCGUGGGGAGCAAACAGGAUUAGAUACCCGGGUAGUCC